CGUAGGGUGCGAGCGUUAAUCGGAAUUACUGGGCGUAAAGCGUGCGCAGGCGGUUUUGUAAGACAGAUGUGAAAUCCCCGGGCUCAACCUGGGACCUGCAUUUGUGACUGCAAGGCUAGAGUACGGUAGAGGGGGAUGGAAUUCCGCGUGUAGCAGUGAAAUGCGUAGAUAUGCGGAGGAACACCGAUGGCGAAGGCAAUCCCCUGGACCUGUACUGACGCUCAUGCACGAAAGCGUGGGGAGCAAACAGGAUUAGAUACCCUGGUAGUCCACGCCCUAAACGAUGUCAACUGGUUGUUGGGUCUUUACUGACUCAGUAACGAAGCUAACGCGUGAAGUUGCCCGCCUGGGGAGUACGGCCGCAAGGUUG
rnacentral:rRNA from 1 species